rnacentral:rRNA from 1 species
GAUGAACGCUGGCGGCGUGCCUAAUACAUGCAAGUCGAGCGAAUGGAUUAAGAGCUUGCUCUUAUGAAGUUAGCGGCGGACGGGUGAGUAACACGUGGGUAACCUGCCCAUAAGACUGGGAUAACUCCGGGAAACCGGGGCUAAUACCGGAUAACAUUUUGAACCGCAUGGUUCGAAAUUGAAAGGCGGCUUCGGCUGUCACUUAUGGAUGGACCCGCGUCGCAUUAGCUAGUUGGUGAGGUAACGGCUCACCAAGGCAACGAUGCGGAGCCGACCUGAGAGGGUGGUCGGCCACCCUGGGACUGAGACACGGCCCAGACUCCUACGGGAGGCAGCAGUAGGGAAUCUUCCGCAAUGGACGAAAGUCUGACGGAGCAACGCCGCGUGAGUGAUGAAGGCUUUCGGGUCGUAAAACUCUGUUGUUAGGGAAGAACAAGUGCUAGUUGAAUAAGCUGGCACCUUGACGUUACCUAACCAGAAAGCCACGGCUAACUACGUG